rnacentral:rRNA from 1 species
CCUACGGGAGGCAGCAGUGAGGAAUAUUGGUCAAUGGCCGGGAGGCUGAACCAGCCAAGUCGCGUGAGGGAAGACGGCCCUACGGGUUGUAAACCUCUUUUGUCAGGGAGCAAGGUGCAGGUCGGGACCUGCGGUGAGAGUACCUGAAGAAAAAGCAUCGGCUAACUCCGUGCCAGCAGCCGCGGUAAUACGGAGGAUGCGAGCGUUAGCCGGAUUUAGUGGGUUGAAAGGGUGCGCAGGCGGAGGCACAAGGCAGCGGUAAAAUCGCGGGGCUCAACCCCGCUCCGCCUUUGAAACUGUGUCCCUUGAGUGCGCGACGGGUAGGCGGAAUGCGUGGUGUAGCGGUGAAAUGCAUAGAUAUCACGCAGAACUCCGAUCGCGAAGGCAGCCUACCGGCGCGCAACUGACGCUCAUGCACGAAAGCGUGGGUAUCGAACAGGAUUAGAUACCCGGGUAGUC